AACUUUAAACGAAAUCAGAACCACAUUUNNAACCUUUANCAACGGAUCUCUAGGUUCUCGCAUCGAUGAAGAACNCAGCGAAUCGCGAUAUGUAUGUGAAUUGCAGAAUGAAUCAUUAGUUUUUGAACGCACAUUG
rnacentral:rRNA from 1 species